rnacentral:rRNA from 1 species
CUAUCAUGCAGUCGAGCGAAUGGAUUAAGAGCUUGCUCUUAUGAAGUUAGCGGCGGACGGGUGAGUAACACGUGGGUAACCUGCCCAUAAGACUGGGAUAACUCCGGGAAACCGGGGCUAAUACCGGAUAACAUUUUGAACCGCAUGGUUCGAAAUUGAAAGGCGGCUUCGGCUGUCACUUAUGGAUGGACCCGCGUCGCAUUAGCUAGUUGGUGAGGUAACGGCUCACCAAGGCAACGAUGCGUAGCCGACCUGAGAGGGUGAUCGGCCACACUGGGACUGAGACACGGCCCAGACUCCUACGGGAGGCAGCAGUAGGGAAUCUUCCGCAAUGGACGAAAGUCUGACGGAGCAACGCCGCGUGAGUGAUGAAGGCUUUCGGGUCGUAAAACUCUGUUGUUAGGGAAGAACAAGUGCUAGUUGAAUAAGCUGGCACCUUGACGGUACCUAACCAGAAAGCCACGGCUAACUACGUGCCAGCAGCCGCGGUAAUACGUAGGUGGCAAGCGUUAUCCGGAAUUAUUGGGCGUAAAGCGCGCGCAGGUGGUUUCUUAAGUCUGAUGUGAAAGCCCACGGCUCAACCGUGGAGGGUCAUUGGAAACUGGGAGACUUGAGUGCAGAAGAGGAAAGUGGAAUUCCAUGUGUAGCGGUGAAAUGCGUAGAGAUAUGGAGGAACACCAGUGGCGAAGGCGACUUUCUGGUCUGUAACUGACACUGAGGCGCGAAAGCGUGGGGAGCAAACAGGAUUAGAUA